rnacentral:rRNA from 1 species
GACGAACGCUGGCGGCGUGCCUAAUACAUGCAAGUCGAACGCAGUGGGGACGGGUGAGUAACACGUGGGUAACCUCCCAUCAGAGGGGAUAACACUUGGAAACAGGUGCUAAACCGAUACUGAUGGAUGGACCCGCGGUGCAUUAGCUAGUUGGUGAGGUAACGGCUCACCAAGGCCACGAUGCAUACCGUACCAUAGGGGUGGAUCGGAAAAACUGGGACUGAGACAGGGCCCAGACGCCGACGGGAGGAAGCAGUAGGAAAUCUUCGGCAAUGGAGGAAAGUCUGACCUAGCAACGCCGCGUGAGUGAAGAAGGUUGUCGGAUCGGAAAACUCUGUAGUUAGAGAUGCGGUAUCUAACCAGAAGGCCACGGCUAACUGCGUGCCAUCAGCCGCGGUAAUUC